GAUGAACGCUGGCGGCGUGCUUAACACAUGCAAGUCGAACGGGAAACCUUUUAUUGAAGCUUCGGCAGAUUUAGCUGGUUUCUAGUGGCGGACGGGUGAGUAACGCGUGGGUAACCUGCCUUAUACAGGGGGAUAACAGUCAGAAAUGGCUGCUAAUACCGCAUAAGCGCACAGAGCUGCAUGGCUCAGUGUGAAAAACUCCGGUGGUAUAAGAUGGACCCGCGUUGGAUUAGCUGGUUGGUGGGGUAACGGCCCACCAAGGCGACGAUCCAUAGCCGGCGUGAGAGGGUGAACGGCCACAUUGGGACUGAGACACGGCCCAGAAUCCUACGGGAGGCAGCAGUGGGGAAUAUUGCACAAUGGGGGAAACCCUGAUGCAGCGACGCCGCGUGAAGGAAGAAGUAUCUCGGUAUGUAAACUUCUAUCAGCAGGGAAGAUAAUGACGGUACCUGACUAAGAAGCCCCGGCUAACUACGUG
rnacentral:rRNA from 1 species